rnacentral:lncRNA from 1 species
UUAGUUAACUUUGCUAUCGAGUUGACAAAAUAUAUUGUACAAUGUAUGUUUGACUGUGUCAAAUAAAUACAUAUAAUAUAGCUUCUGAAAGAAUUAUCUCAUAUCUUGAAAAGUAUAUAAAAAAGACAUUAUGGAUACUAUUCAAAAUUUUAUUAUAAAAAAAAAAGCUAAAGUUUGGAUCAUCAUUUAUUACACAACUGCACUUAUCUCUAGCAGUAUAAUGCAGAAGUGAACUUUAUGGCUAUCACCACUGUGUUGAAUCAUAAUGUGAAUUUUUUAGCUUGAUUAAACAAAGUAGGACCCAGAUGAAGUAUUCAGAUUACAAAAGUUUAUACUUGUCAAUAAGAAUUGAACCUGCCAUUUUCACACUACAAUGUUUGAUACUACAAUAGAUCACAUGGCCAGAGAAGACAUGAGAGAAAUCUGUUUUUUAAUGUGCCAUUGCUCAUAUUUUGUAUCUGAUGGAAAAUUUCAUUCCCAAACAAGAUUUCUUCUGAUGGGGAAAUGCUAUUGCACCUUAUGUGGCCUAACAGAACUAGAUAUUUCACAUGAAAGAAUAAUAAUUGUAGAAUGCUUAAAGAAUAAUGUCUGUUUAUAUAUCUUCUACAUAGACAAUGUGUUUGUAGUUUGAUCUAGUUCUGAAUUUGUAAAUAAUUUUGCCAAAAUAACGAGCAAUGAGACUCUAGACAUAAAACUUCAAUUAGAU